rnacentral:rRNA from 1 species
UGGGGAAUAUUGCACAAUGGGCGAAAGCCUGAUGCAGCGACGCCGCGUGCGGGAUGAAGGCCUUCGGGUUGUAAACCGCUUUUAAUUGGGAGCAAGCGAGAGUGAGUGUACCUUUUGAAUAAGCACCGGCUAACUACGUGCCAGCAGCCGCGGUAAUACGUAGGGUGCAAGCGUUAUCCGGAAUUAUUGGGCGUAAAGAGCUCGUAGGCGGUUUGUCACGCCUGGUGUGAAAGUCCAUCGCUUAACGGUGGAUCUGCGCCGGGUACGGGCAGGCUAGAGUGCAGUAGGGGAGAUUGGAGUUCCCGGUGUAACGGUGGAAUGUGUAGAUAUCGGGAAGAACACCAAUGGCGAAGGCAGAUCUCUGGGCUGUUACUGACGCUGAGGAGCGAAAGCAUGGGGAGCGAACAGGAUUAGGAUACCC